UCCCAUUCAGGAUCUAGAAUAAGCUUUGCAUGGAUUAGAUAGUUCAUUAAUGUUUAUCAAAGUUGGAAGUCAAAAGAGAAUUUGGAAGCUUUGAUCAUCAGGAAACAAGAUGGAGCUAAUUGACCCAAUGGAAGAGAAAAGCCACUUUUCUGUAAAAUGAAAAAUUGUUGGUUGGACAAUGGACAAUCACCUCCUAUCAAACCCAUAAUUUUAAGAUUGACUAAGUCAUCUACUUUGCAUUCCGAUGUUGAUAAUUGUCAAUCCAGCCUAGGUUAAAACAAGUUUUCAACCUUUUACAAAUGAGUGUGUGUGUGUGUGUGUGCGCACGCGCGGGUGUGUGUGUGUGUUUAAGAAUUGUGUAUCUUGGGAACAAAAUAUUAUAAUAAGGUUAAUGAGAAAAGGAGCAACACAAAUCUGUUUUCAUUAAUCUUAACAGAGCUUAAAUCACAGCACGGGGGAAACAGCUGCUCUGGAAGGCAGCCUAGGAGCAGAUCAGUAGAAGCUGAUUAUCUGUUAAUGAGAGGGCUUUGGUGGGGAGCCCUGGUGGAAAACCCACCAGACUCAAUUCUGC
rnacentral:lncRNA from 1 species